rnacentral:rRNA from 1 species
CCAAUAGCGUAUAUUAAAGUUGUUGCAGUUAAAAAGCUCGUAGUUGAAUUUCGGGAUCAAUAUGUUGGUCGUGCCUCGGUACGUACUGGCGUCAUUGGUUUCUACCUUCUGAAGAACCUCGAUGUCAUUAAUUUGGUGUCUUGGGGAAUCAGGACUGUUACUUUGAAAAAAUUAGAGUGUUUAAAGCAGGCUCACGCUUGAAUACAUUAGCAUGGAAUAAUGAAAUAGGACGUUUGAUUCUAUUUUGUUGGUUUCUAGGAUCGACGUAAUGAUUAAUAGGGAUAGUUGGGGGCAUUAGUAUUCAAUUGUCAGAGGUGAAAUUCUUGGAUUUAUUGAAGACUAACUACUGCGAAAGCAUUUGCCAAGGAUGUUUUCAUUAAUCAAGAACGAAAGUUAGGGGAUCGAAGACGAUCAGAUACCGUCGUAGUCUUAACCAUAAACUAUGCCGACUAGGGAUCGGAUGAUGUUAAUUUUUUAAUGACUCAUUCGGCGCCUUACG